GAUUUCUUAAAAAAACGAUUUUGAAUUAUCUGUCUGAAAGAUCACCUAUCUCUGUAACUCUGGGAUUGGUCACUGGUGUCUUAUUUAGUUUGUUUGGUGACGUCAUGUUUUUCUGAAUGAUCUUGAUGCUUGUG